UAAUAUACAUUGCCAGAGAAGCCAAGUCAACAGUCACAACAAAGGAUUUAGUGCUACAUUGAGAUAUAAAUCAUCAGGAACAUUGAAGCCGUAAUUCAAUUCCUGCAGCCAGGAAAAGAUAAUGUUGCUAGGUUGUAAGAUGUAACUUAGAUCACGUCCAAGUAGAGAAUGCAUGGCCACCAUAGUGUUCGAUGAGUGCAUAGUAAUAGCAUUUCUCUUAACCAACCUUUAUUGGUGUAUGGGCACAAGGCUUGUCAUGAUUUCCAGUUUUAGCAUUCUGCAAAAAAAAAGCUAUCCAAAACCCCAUUGUUUUUGAAAAUAUACAUAUAAAAAAAGGAUAUUCUACUACAACAUAAAUUCUACACAUCAAUCAUGGUUUCACAAAGUGAAAAUCUUCAUCAGAUUGGAUGGUUGGUCAACAUUCAAAAGAUAAUGAUUUCGAAACUCAUUGGAGCCAUACUCCAAGUGAAUAUCACAUUCAGAAGAUACAUUUUUUUAAAUCAUUAGAACCAUACUACAACAAAAUACAAUGGCCCUAAAAAACAGAAUACAAUGCAGAUACAUGAGUGACACACUCCUUACCAUGAUGUUGGAAAGGGCCAAUGCGGCAACAUAUUACGAGAAUAGACAAUGUGCCUAAAACAUCAUUUAGCGUUCAGGUUACAUACACAAACAGCAAACAAAAUAAGUUUUCCUUGCCACUGCUUUUCUUUUUAACAUCAACUUGUGAUAGCAUGCUAGUCUCCCAUGAUCAAUUUCUAUCACUACGGUUCACAAAUAUGCUGUUACCUAUAGAUAUAUGAUAUUCAUGUGAGAAGGAAGCUCGGGAAUGUUCCAGAUGUGUAGAUCGGAUAAAAAAAAAGAUUCUCAAAACGAAAUCCUACUUAAUACUUUGUCUUCAUAUGCAUCAGCUCGACAAGUUUAGUAGAAUCCUUCUUCACUCAUAUCCAUGAGGAUGGCUGCAAACAAUGUAAAGAGAAUCUCAAAUGAUCAUGGUUACAAAAAAAUCUUAGCGCUCAACAAGAUUUAUGGAAAGUAGUGUAUCACAAACCUGCAUAAUGCCAAUCGAUAUGAUGCAGAAUUGUUAGGAAGGGACAACACAAUGAUCACGAUAUUUAAGUACCUACUAAGGACAGAACUUGCAUAAAAGCCUUCACCAUUUAUCAUUCCCAAUUGCUGGGAGAUCAAUAAGCCAACUCCCACGUGUGCAUAUACCACCAUCACGGCCUUCAUCAAUUGUCAUGUUCAUACCUCGUAUAUAUAUCCAUUGAUGCCUUUAGCAUGCUUAUAGGUUUGUUUUGUACCUUUCUCUGAAAUCUGGUGGGUCUGGCUGCCUAGCAAGACAAAGAUAUGAGAAUUCACAUGCAUAUAGAAGAUAAUCUGGUAGAAGAACAUAAUAUUACAAAUCAACUAUUGCUCCAAGUUUCCACAAAACAGAAAACAAGGAAGAAGCAAGGUAAUGAAAAGAAAAGGCAAAGUAUAUAAAUACACAUUUUAAAAUAUCGGUCUCUACCUAAAUAGAAUGAGCUCUAUAUGCCAAGGCAUAACAUAGUAAAACUGAGUUGAAUCAAGCUAUCUUGUAAAACAAAAUACAGAUAUUAGCAGAGAACAUACCUUAGUUACUGAUGAUUCACUAUGGGUGGUACCGUGCACACAUGCUAUGAGAUCUCUGCCACCAGUGUAACCUUCACCAAAAUGUCAGAAUUAAAAACAUUAAAGGUAAUGGGUACAACCAAAACUAUGAAGACAAAUAUGCUACUCCCUCCAUUCCAAA
rnacentral:lncRNA from 1 species